CCUACGGGAGGCAGCAGUAGGGAAUCUUCCACAAUGGGCGAAAGCCUGAUGGAGCAACGCCGCGUGGGUGAAGAAGGUCUUCGGAUCGUAAAAUCCUGUUGUUAGAGAAGAAAGUGCGUGAGAGUAACUGUUUACGCUUCGACGGUAUCUAACCAGAAAGCCACGGCUAACUACGUGCCAGCAGCCGCGGUAAUACGUAGGUGGCAAGCGUUAUCCGGAUUUAUUGGGCGUAAAGGGAACGCAGGCGGUCUUUUAAGUCUGAUGUGAAAGCCUUGGGCUUAACCGGAGUAGUGCAUUGGAGACUGGGAAACUUGAGUGCAGGAGAGGAGAGUAGAACUCCAUGUGUAGCGGUGAAAUGCGUAGAUAUAUGGAAGAACACCAGUGGCGAAAGCGGCUCUCUGGUCUGUAACUGACGCUGAGGUGCGAAAGCGUGGGUAGCAAACAGGAUUAGAUACCCCUGUAGUC
rnacentral:rRNA from 1 species